rnacentral:tRNA from 9 species
GCGCGGGUGGCGAAAUUGGUAGACGCACCAGGUUUAGGUCCUGACGCUGGCAACAGUGUGCGGGUUCGAGUCCCGCCCCGCGCACCA